GACGAACGCUGGCGGCGUGCUUAACACAUGCAAGUCGUACGGUAAGGCCCUUUCGGGGGUACCCGAGUGGCGAACGGGUGAGUAACACGUGAGUAACCUGCCCACAACUUUGGGAUAACGCUAGGAAACUGGUGCUAAUACUGGAUAUGUGCUCCUGCUGCAUGGUGGGGGUUGGAAAGCUCCGGCGGUUGUGGAUGGACUCGCGGCCUAUCAGCUUGUUGGUGGGGUAGUGGCCUACCAAGGCGGCGACGGGUAGCCGGCCUGAGAGGGUGACCGGCCACAUUGGGACUAAGAUACGGCCCAGACUCCUACGGGAGGCAGCAGUGGGGAAUAUUGCACAAUGGGCGCAAGCCUGAUGCAGCAACGCCGCGUGCGGGAUGACGGCCUUCGGGUUGUAAACCGCGUUCAGCAGGGACGAAGCUUUUUGUGACGGUACCUGCAGAAGAAGCACCGGCUAACUACGUG
rnacentral:rRNA from 1 species